rnacentral:rRNA from 1 species
UACGAAGGGGGCUAGCGUUGCUCGGAAUCACUGGGCGUAAAGCGCACGUAGGCGGAUUGUUAAGUCGGGGGUGAAAUCCUGGAGCUCAACUCCAGAACUGCCUUCGAUACUGGAGAGCUUGAGUCCGGAAGAGGUGAGUGGAACUCCGAGUGUAGAGGUGAAAUUCGUAGAUAUUCGGAAGAACACCAGUGGCGAAGGCGGCUCACUGGUCCGGUACUGACGCUGAUGUGCGAAAGCGUGGGGAGCAAACAGG